UCGUUUCGUUACGAAACGCUUCCUUCGCAGUAGCUCUUCACUCGGGGUUAUUCUGUCCCCAUUGUAAUUACUGAGAGGAUUCACUCAUCUUCCGAACAUCAAACAGCAGCGGGACGAAUUUUACACAGGUGGAGACGAAAGCCAGCACACCCUGCGGCUCUCCAGGACCAGGGUUGCCGACCCCUGCUUUAAGCUGGAGUUGUAGAUGAAGACUACCGAGGAAAUGUAGGACUUGUGCUUUUCAACUUCAGUAAAGAAGCGUUUGAAGUCAAAAAGGGGGACCGUAUUGCUUAGCUGAUCUGUGAUAAAAAUAUGCUACCCGGAAUUGAAGCAGCAUGAGUAAACCUGAUAAUGAUGCAAGGUCGGUGGUUCAAUCCCUGGUGUAGCCACGAGCAGAUCCAGCUGCUGAGCCCUUGAGCAAGGCCCUUAACCCCCACAUUGGUCCAUGGGGGUUUCUUCUUUGCUUAGUCAAAUCCACUGCCCUCGUCAUUCCCGAAGUCGAUCAUGUAGCGGACGUGGUCGGUCAGCGUGGAGAGGGCGGGAGUGAACUCCAGGAGGUGGUCUUUGCUGUUCACGUCACUGACAUUGAAGUUAAACAAGAUGGUGUCUUCGAUGUCCACACUUGCCAAGCUGACGGCCUCUUGUUCAUCCUGUAAAACACAUACAAUUUUCACAAAACCCAAAACCCAAAAAACUACUCUGAACAGAAUUGACUGAAUUAUUUUUUUCUAUUUUUAAAGGAAAAAGUUCAGGAUUUCUAAAAGGGACAUUCUUGCUUACUGUAAAUUGCCAGCAAUAAGUAAUGGGACAUUCCGUUGCAUUCCUAAAAAAAAUGUUUCUUUAUCGGAAGACAACUACCAAAUUCAAGGUUACCUGUGAUUCUCCCAGAGCGGUGUCAUCGGUCCCGUUUGUGCUUCUGCGUUUCCUGCCUUUUUUCGGAUAGCCGUUAAUUUUACACUCGUAGCAAGCCUCAGGGGAGAGAGAGUUAUCGUCUGUCUCGCCACCCUGGCCCGGCCCCAGAGCUCCAGUCCCAAAGCCCACGCCUGAGACGCAGUGCCUUAAACACAGGGAAACAGAAACUUCAGCAACACCUUUCUAUAUCACAUAAACCACACACUGUCGUCAGAACUACAGGGACAGCAUUUUCUUUAUAGUGCUUUUUUCAGCAACAAAGGCCACACACCCUUGCCCUGCUCUGUAGUAUCCAGGCGGGCAACCACACAGGUAGCCCCCAUCUGUGUUGGAGCAGCCAUAGUUGCAGGGGUUCUGGGAGGACGAGCACUCGUUCACGUCCUGGCAUCCUCCCCCAAACUGUUCGUAGUUGAAGCCCGUGGGACACAGGCACCGGAAGCUUCCCAGAGUGUUGUGGCAAGAGGCGUCCCCACAGACUUGGCUGUUCUGGCAUUCAUUUUCAUCUACGGAAUACAAAUAAAACAAAAUGGUUUCUGUA